CAGGCCCCUGUGGGGACGGAGCACCUGUCAGCCAGGAGCCCCGAGCGCUGACUAUCAUUGAGGCGCUCGCGAGUCCUACCCCCUGCCCCCAAAGGACUCUUACAGACACACCUAUUCUACAGAGGGGGAGACUGAGACUCGGAGACAGACAGACAUUGGCCUGAGGCCACACAGUGGCCAGCGACAGAGCUAGGACUGGGACUCACUCCUGUGGACAGGCGGUCUGGGACCCUCACCCUCUUCGCAGCCGGAGCAGAUGGGGUUCAUGUUCCACAGUGUCUGCAUGAAGGAGGCGUCCACCUGGAGCUCCCCACUGGCCGUUGACAGGUGCUGGGGGCGACCGGGAGGUGGCGGUCAGAGAUGGUGGGUGAGAAUAGUCCGGUGUCAGAGGCCGGAAACCAAAGGCGGAAGCCGGCAGACAGGGGACAGAAAAUCAGAGAUCACAGAUCGGAAAACCAAGAUCAAACUGGGCAGCGGGGCCCGGAAGACGAGAAAUGGAUGUCAGAGGUCGGGAAACCAGGAAUCAGGCGUCCGACCACUGGGGCCAGAGAGCUGGCAAAUCAGUGACCGGGAGACGGGGGACCCCGUGCGCCCCCAGCCCUGGGCAGUAGUAGCUAUGCCGGGGGGGGCGGGAUUGCUCACCAGGUAGCGCUCUGAGGAGACGCUGACGAGGAUGAGGUCGUCCCCAACGCGGACCUUCUCUCCUUCCGACCUCUGCUUGGAGGCCGGGUGCGCCGUCCACCAACAGGCCUCCCCUAGGGAGGGGGCAGGGCUGUCAGGAUGAGGACCACCCAGAAUGCCCUUCCCCGAGGGGUCCCCAGCCCUCGGCCCCCAAUUCUCUUAUCACGACCACCCCCUCUCUGCCUCCCGCCCUCACACUCUCUGCCUCGGGUCCCCCCACGCUGGUCCGAGUCUCCCUCGCCGCCCCCGUCCCUGCCCCCGCCGGGCCUGCACCUUCCCCACCUCGGCCCCUGGCCGCAGCGCCCCCGUCGCCGCCCUCCCCGCUCCAGCCCCACACCUGUGGCAUCUUCCUGGAGUCCCACGUCGAAGGCCAGCUUGUCAGUCAUGGAGCGCGAGGUGGUAAGACAGCUCAGGUACUAGGAUCGCAGAGGGGAGUCAGCCUCCUCCCGGCCCUCGCCCCGCCCCUGCCCUCGCCCCCUCGCUCUCACACUCACCAUGCCGCUGUGCGUGUGACGGAGCAGGAUGGCAUGGCCGUACAGGAGUGUCCUGUGUCCCCCACCCUGGGACGACUGCAGGGGGGAGGGGGUGGAGAGAGGGCACAGAGUGAGACCAGACCCCCCCCCCCCCACCGCCCCAGGCAUCCGGCCUAUCCUAUAUGGCAAUACGCUCCCCAUAAAAUACCAUGCUCGCCCGGACACGAGAAAGCCUUAGCUCAGACCCUCAACAGAUUCUUGGCCUCGGUUUCCCCAUUCAUGGAAGUAGGGGCUGUGUCUCUGAGAAGCCUGUGGGUAGGGUGUUUUCUAGUUCCCAAAGCCCACUCUGUCCUCCCUGCCUCCUUCAUCCUGUUGAGCAGGCCCCAGAGUCCCUCAGGGAGGCCGAACCGCUCUUCCGGUUGGUCUCCUGAGAGUCCCCCCUAACUCGUAUUCCGUGGACCUCGGCCCCUUUCUCCCUAACCUGUCAUAAGACAGCUGAGUGGCAGCCCAUCUGCACCUGGGUAGUCCUACCAGGUGUUAAAUAUUUGAACAUCCCCAUAGGGACCCCGCCCUGCGCCGCCACACACGCCGAAGCACAAGGAGCCCGGGCCCCUCCCGGGGUGGGUACAUGGGAUAUACACCCAGUCACUCGAUGGCGUCAUGCCUCCCAUCCUGGCUCUCACAUGCCCAUGCUCUGAGGGCGCCAUGUGAUGGGGCCACCUGAUCACAUGGCAGACCCACUCCUGGAGCGGAGGGGACCCACACUUGGGGCAGGGGGGGAGUGAGAGGAGAGGUCCCAUGCAGAGAAGAGCUGGGAUCAGGGACGGAGGGAAGGAUGGGAAAGAGGACAAAGGAGCAGGUGGGGGAACGGGUCGGGGGGGCUCAGAAGCCCGCACCCCCUUCCUUCCUUCCUGGCUGGCCUGUCUGGGCUCCACAGCCCCUGACAGCUGGGGUGGGGGAGACCCCCAGCCCCUGUGUGCAGGACGUGGGCCCAAGAGCAGGGCCUGGGGCCAGGAGAGGUGGAAGAGACAGGUGACACCCAAGGCCAGACCUACCCACUUAUCCAAAUUGAGGGCCUGUGAGGGGCGGGGCAGAGAGAGGAAGAAGAGCAGGCGGUGAGCGACCCCCCGUGGCUUCCCACCCAGCCCUGCCACCGCGCCCCGCCAGGCCAGGAGCCUCACCUCCACGCCAGCCUCCACCGUGUUGGCCAGCAUCUCCUGCAGGGCCCGGACCGACAGAGACUGCUCCAGGACGAAGCAACAGAUGGCCAGAUCGGGGGGCACGUUCUGCAGUGGGGGAGGAUAGAGAGCAGAGAGAGAGAGAGAGAGAGAGAGAGAGAGAAUCCCGAGCAGGCUCCAAGCUCAGUGCGGAGCCCCACACGGGGCUCGAUCCUACGACCCUGGGAUCACGCCCUGGGCCGCCAUCAAGAGUUGGGCGUCAACUGACUGAGCCACCGAGGCGCCCCCGAGGAGUUCUUCCUAAGGAGAGAAAACUGAGGCUCUGAGCCGGGAAGCCGCUGCUAUAUGUCCUACAGCGGAGCCGGUAUGCACACCAGGUCUCCCGACUUUAAAAAGCACCAUGCUUAAAAAAGCGCUGAGCUAGACAGUCUGGAUCCGAAUCCCAGUCUCGCCACUCCCUUAUGUGUCCUUGGACAAAUCACAUCGCUGCUCGGCGCCUCGGUUUCCCCAACUGUCAUCAUGCUGUGUUUUAAGACCUACCCAUGCAGCUCUACGGACACCUGUUCUGUGGCUGUGGGGGCUUUGCAGAGCUCCCUGGAGACUGUCCUCAACUUCCAAUCUUGCCAGACCAAUAGGGUGACUCACCAUUGUUUUAAUUUGCACUUCCUUGGUCAGUUACCAAGAAUUUCUAGCAUCUUCUCAGGUGCUUGUCAGAGUUGGGUUUGCUCACACUUGCUCACACUCUUGGCCCAUUUUUCUAUCAGAGCCUCUGUCUCUCUUGCUGAUUUGCAGCUGCAACUUUCACAUUCUAAAGAUUAAUUUCCCAUUGAUUUUUUUUAUUUCUUUAAUGUUUAUUUAUAUUUGAAAUUUUUUUUUUUUAGUGUUUGUUUAUUUUUGAGAGAGAGACAGAGAUAGAGUGCGAGCAGGGGAGGGGCU